AUUGAACGCUGGCGGCAGGCCUAACACAUGCAAGUCGAACGAGUGGCGGACGGGUGAGUAAUGUCUGGGAAACUGCCUGAUGGAGGGGGAUAACUACUGGAAACGGUAGCUAAUACCGCAUACUAUCGGAUGUACCCAGAUGGGAUUAGCUAGUAGGUGGGGUAAAGGCUCACCUAGGCGACGAUCCCUAGCUGGUCUGAGAGGAUGAUCAGCCACACUGGAACUGAGACACGGUCCAGACUCCUACGGGAGGCAGCAGUGGGGAAUAUUGCACAAUGGGCGCAAGCCUGAUACAGCCAUGCCGCGUGUAUGAAGAAGGCCUUAGGGUUGUAAAGUACUUUCAGCGGGGAGGCGUUACCCGCAGAAGAAGCACCGGCUAACUCCGUGCCAGCCGCCGCGGUAAUUC
rnacentral:rRNA from 1 species